UGAGGUCACACUCCAUGGGGAGAUGGUCACAUAAAGCUUCUUAGAAAAUGUCCGAAAUCCAGAGGGGCAGCCAAAUCUUAAAGCUCCAAAAUGAUCUCCUUUGACUCCAUGUCUCACAUCCUGAUCCUGCAGAUGCAAGAGGAGAUCUUAGAGACGAAAAAGGGGAAGCUCCAUUAAAAUUGGUAAAGGAAGAAACAUAAUAUGAAAGGAGGGAAAUAAUGAGGUAAAAGAUGUGGAGACUGCUUUCCAGACAAAGUAAGAAUGAACUUCACUUUGGAAUAACAAAGCAGUGCUUGCUUGGCAAGAUGGAGUCUUGUUCUUUCGCCCAGGCUGGAGGAGUGCAGUGGUGCGAUCUCUGCUCACUGCAACCUCUGCCUCCCGGGUUCAAGCAAUUCUCCUGCUUC